GACGAACGCUGGCGGCGCGCCUAACACAUGCAAGUCGAACGAGAGAUGAGGAGCUUGCUCUUCAAAUCGAGUGGCGAACGGGUGAGUAACGCGUGAGGAACCUGCCUCAAAGAGGGGGACAACAGUUGGAAACGACUGCUAAUACCGCAUAAGCCCACGGCUCGGCAUCGAGCAGAGGGAAAAGGAGUGAUCCGCUUUGAGAUGGCCUCGCGUCCGAUUAGCUGGUUGGUGAGGUAACGGCCCACCAAGGCGACGAUCGGUAGCCGGACUGAGAGGUUGAACGGGCCACAUUGGGACUGAGACACGGCCCAGACUCCUACGGGAGGCAGCAGUGGGGAAUAUUGCACAAUGGGGGGAACCCUGAUGCAGCGACGCCGCGUGGAGGAAGAAGGGUCUUCGGGAUUGGUAAAACUCCUGUUGUUGAGGGAAGAUAAAUGACGGGUACUCAAACAAGGGAAGUGAACGGGCUAAACUACGUGCCAGCCGCCGCCGUAAG
rnacentral:rRNA from 1 species